AAUGGAGAGCCUGAUUAAAGGAUUAUCGUGAUAGGAUAAAAUAUGUAGACUCAGUCUACCCUCAUUA
rnacentral:tRNA from 2 species